UUCCUGGUGGUCUGGUGGUUAGGAUUUGGCAUUUUAACUGCCAUGGCCCAGGUUCAAUCCCUGGUCAGGGAA
rnacentral:tRNA from 1 species